GAUGAACGCUGGCGGCGUGCCUAAUACAUGCAAGUCGAGCGAACAGACGAGGAGCUUGCUCCUCUGACGUUAGCGGCGGACGGGUGAGUAACACGUGGAUAACCUACCUAUAAGACUGGGAUAACUUCGUGAAACCGGAGCUAAUACCGGAUAAUAUAUUGAACCGCAUGGUUCAAUAGUGAAAGACGGUUUUGCUGUCACUUAUAGAUGGAUCCGCGCCGCAUUAGCUAGUUGGUAAGGUAACGGCUUACCAAGGCAACGAUGCGUAGCCGACCUGAGAGGGUGAUCGGCCACACUGGAACUGAGACACGGUCCAGACUCCUACGGGAGGCAGCAGUAGGGAAUCCUGCGCAAUGGGCGAAAGCCUGACGGAGCAACGCCGCGUGAGUGAUGAAGGUCUUCGGAUCGUAAAACUCUGUUAUUAGGGAAGAACAAAUGUGUAAGUAACUAUGCACGUCUUGACGGUACCUAAUCAGAAAGCCACGGCUAACUACGUG
rnacentral:rRNA from 1 species